rnacentral:rRNA from 1 species
AAAACACACCUACGGGAGGCAGCAGUAGGGAAUCUUCCGCAAUGGACGAAAGUCUGACGGAGCAACGCCGCGUGAGUGAUGAAGGCUUUCGGGUCGUAAAACUCUGUUGUUAGGGAAGAACAAGUGCUAGUUGAAUAAGCUGGCACCUUGACGGUACCUAACCAGAAAGCCACGGCUAACUACGUGCCAGCAGCCGCGGUAAUACGUAGGUGGCAAGCGUUAUCCGGAAUUAUUGGGCGUAAAGCGCGCGCAGGUGGUUUCUUAAGUCUGAUGUGAAAGCCCACGGCUCAACCGUGGAGGGUCAUUGGAAACUGGGAGACUUGAGUGCAGAAGAGGAAAG